rnacentral:rRNA from 1 species
AUUGAACGCUGGCGGCAUGCUUUACACAUGCAAGUCGAACGGCAGCGCGGGCUUCGGCCUGGCGGCGAGUGGCGAACGGGUGAGUAAUAUAUCGGAACGUACCCUAGAGUGGGGGAUAACCAGUCGAAAGAUUGGCUAAUACCGCAUACGAUCUCAGGAUGAAAGUGGGGGACCGCAAGGCCUCAUGCUCCUGGAGCGGCCGAUAUCUGAUUAGCUAGUUGGUGGGGUAAAGGCCCACCAAGGCGACGAUCAGUAGCUGGUCUGAGAGGACGAUCAGCCACACUGGGACUGAGACACGGUCCAGACUCCUACGGGAGGCAGCAGUGGGGAAUUUUGGACAAUGGGGGCAACCCUGAUCCAGCAAUGCCGCGUGAGUGAAGAAGGCCUUCGGGUUGUAAAGCUCUUUUGUCAGGGAAGAAACGGUGAAGGCUAAUAUCCUUUGCUAAUGACGGUACCUGAAGAAUAAGCACCGGCUAACUACGUGCCAGCAGCCGCCGUAAAAC